rnacentral:lncRNA from 10 species
CUCCUAUCUCAUCCUGUGACUUACAAUGCCUAACCUCCUGGGAAUGCAGCCCAGUACGUCUCAGCCUCAUUUUACCCAGCUCUGUAUUCAAGAUACAUUCACUCUGGUCCCAACGCCUCUGACACUACGUUCCAGGGAUUACGGCAUGAACAUACUGUUUUCAGGACCCUAUCUAGCCCACCAUGUAUUUUCAGAGCUGCCCUUGGCCAUCUGGAAGAUGCAUGGUGAAAGAAACGGAUGCUUGCUCUCAGCACACACUUCCUUCCCUGACAGUUUGUCGCCUAGCAGCUAUUUUGGCUUCCCAAGGGAAAUCUUGUCCUUUGCCCUUGUGGGGCUUACUGCAAAUCAACUCAUCAUGAGGAAGAUUAAUCAGAGAAAAGACAUACAAUUUUUUUUUUUUUUAAACUGUGAGCAUGAAGAGAAUCACAGAGUGUAUACUCAAUCUCCCAAUGGGGGCAAAAUACUUCUGUAACCUCCUUUCAGGUGGCGAGAGGGGACAUGGGAAUGUAGGUAAUUCUGUUGAGUGGUAAUAAGUGAUGACUAGGAAGAUUGAAUGGAUACUUGGGAGAAUGAAUAGG